rnacentral:rRNA from 1 species
AGUUCGGAUUGUAGUCUGNAACCCGACUACAUGAAGCUGGAAUCGCUAGUAAUCGCGGAUCAGAAUGCCGCGGUGAAUACGUUCCCGGGUCUUGUACACACCGCCCGUCACACCAUGGGAGUCGGAAAUGCCCGAAGUCUGUGACCCAACCGGAAGGAAGGAGCAGCCGAAGGCAGGUCUGAUGACUGGGGUGAAGUCGUAACAAGGUACC